UAUACAUGCAAGUCGAGCGACGGACGAGAAGCUUGCUUCUCUGAUGUUAGCGGCGGACGGGUGAGUAACACGUGGAUAACCUACCUAUAAGACUGGGAUAACUUCGGGAAACCGGAGCUAAUACCGGAUAAUAUUUUGAACCGCAUGGUUCAAAAGUGAAAGACGGUCUUGCUGUCACUUAUAGAUGGAUCCGCGCUGCAUUAGCUAGUUGGUAAGGUAACGGCUUACCAAGGCAACGAUGCAUAGCCGACCUGAGAGGGUGAUCGGCCACACUGGAACUGAGACACGGUCCAGACUCCUACGGGAGGCAGCAGUAGGGAAUCUUCCGCAAUGGGCGAAAGCCUGACGGAGCAACGCCGCGUGAGUGAUGAAGGUCUUCGGAUCGUAAAACUCUGUUAUUAGGGAAGAACAUAUGUGUAAGUAACUGUGCACAUCUUGACGGUACCUAAUCAGAAAGCCACGGCUAACUACGUGCCAGCAGCCGCGGUAAUACGUAGGUGGCAAGCGUUAUCCGGAAUUAUUGGGCGUAAAGCGCGCGUAGGCGGUUUUUUAAGUCUGAUGUGAAAGCCCACGGCUCAACCGUGGAGGGUCAUUGGAAACUGGAAAACUUGAGUGCAGAAGAGGAAAGUGGAAUUCCAUGUGUAGCGGUGAAAUGCGCAGAGAUAUGGAGGAACACCAGUGGCGAAGGCGACUUUCUGGUCUGUAACUGACGCUGAUGUGCGAAAGCGUGGGGAUCAAACAGGAUUAGAUACCUNGGGUUAGUUCCA
rnacentral:rRNA from 1 species